AGGUGUGUCGAAACGGAGCGCUUUCUGCACACCUGUGAUGGGGCGAAGAAUCUCUCCUCUUCCUCCUUCCUUUCCUCCUUCUCCCCUCCGUCCUCCUCCUCUCCAUCCUCCUCCUCUUCCUCUGAGGCCGGGUUGAGUCAUCAUUCUGGAAACCUUCUCCAGCUCUUCCUCGGGAGGGAGACGCCUGCGUGGAAUGCUUCCCGACUUAACCCUUUUCUGGUGCUAAAGAUCGCCCAAGAGUCGGGACAAGAGGGGACAGGCUAUGGUUACCCUGAUUACUCUCUGCUGGACAGCCCAGGAAGGGCAGAGUCACGGACACGGCCCGGCCUUCCUGCAGGCAUCCAGAAAGCUCAUAGGAACCCAGGUAAGAACACAAUGGAUGUGUGGGCAGUGGACCUGAAUCUAGCAACUUCGCUCCACCUAUACACUACAAAAUUUACGAGCAACCCAGAAAGAUCCUUCAGCAAUAAUUCCUACAUGGGCUCAACUUCUAGGUGCAGCCAGCUUUCCUUUAGACGUGCGGGGCCUCUGUGGACACCGUGGAUGGCAUGGGCAUACAAGAACUGAGAAACGCAUGCCCUGUCUUGUCACCAACAAAAGUGCCCCGAGACACCAAGCUUCACACACGCAGGACCAGAGUUCCCCUCAUACUCAGAGCAGCAGCUAGGGCAUCACAGCUGUUUUCCACGGCUCUUCCUGCAGCGUGUACAUGCACGCAGAAAUGGCCCUUAGGAGUCAAGGGGCCUUCUUCUUAUUUGCUUUUCUACAAGAUAACUUUCCCAAAAGAGCACUGGAGUUAGGAGGAGGAAGUCAGAGUUACAGGUGCAGCCAGAGUCCUGAUGGAGCCCCGAGUCAUCUGACUUACAGGGAUGAAUCUUUUGAGGCCGGCAGAGGGGCUGAGGAGGGUCAGGCUUGGCUGUUCAUGGCCACGGGCUGCUGAUUUAUAACCUCAGAAUGGGCUCCAGGUUGGAGCGAAUGCUUGAUUGAAUACUGCAUCUACCACAGGCCUCCCUCCAGGAUGCCUGCUUCCAGCCUCAGGAUGAGGGGACAGUGGGCUUCCCUGUGGUGGGUGGAGCUCCUUCUGGAGCGGGUUUAGAGCCCACCUGACCCUGGACACCAGGUACCUCCUGAAGAAGAGCUAGAAAUAAAGCAUCAACAGAGACGUCA
rnacentral:lncRNA from 1 species